AGUGAACGCUGGCGGUAGGCCUAACACAUGCAAGUCGAACGGCAGCACAGUAAGAGCUUGCUCUUACGGGUGGCGAGUGGCGGACGGGUGAGGAAUACAUCGGAAUCUACUUUUUCGUGGGGGAUAACGUAGGGAAACUUACGCUAAUACCGCAUACGACCUACGGGUGAAAGCAGGGGAUCUUCGGACCUUGCGCGAUUGAAUGAGCCGAUGUCGGAUUAGCUAGUUGGCGGGUUAAAGGCCCACCAAGGCGACGAUCCGUAGCUGGUCUGAGAGGAUGAUCGGCCACACUGGAACUGAGCCACGGUCCAGACUCCUACGGGAGGCAGCAGUGGGGAAUAUUGGACAAUGGGCGCAAGCCUGAUCCAGCCAUACCGCGUGGGUGAAGAAGGCCUUCGGGUUGUAAAGCCCUUUUGUUGGGAAAGAAAAGCAGCAGGUUAAUACCCCGCUGUUCUGACGGUACCCAAAGAAUAAGCACCGGCUAACUUCGUG
rnacentral:rRNA from 1 species